UCGAUGAAGAACGCAGCGAAAUGCGAUAAGUAAUGUGAAUUGCAGAAUUCAGUGAAUCAUCGAAUCUUUGAACGCACAUUGCGCCCCUUGGUAUUCCGAGGGGCAUGCCUGUUCGAGCGUCAUUACAACCCUCAAGCAAUGCUUGGUGUUGGGCCUCGCCGGUCACCCGGCGGGCUCUAAAAUCAGUGGCGGUGCCGUCGGGCUCUGAGCGUAGUAAUUCUUCUCGCUAUAGAGUCCCGGUGGAUGCUGGCCAACAACCCCCAAUUUUCUAUGGUUGACCUCGGAUCAGGUAGGGAUACCCGCUGAACUUAA
rnacentral:rRNA from 1 species